UAUGUGAUCGUCUCUCGCAUAUCAAUAAGCGGAGGAAAAGAAACUAACAAGGAUUCCCCUAGUAACGGCGAGUGAAGCGGGAAGAGCUCAAAUUUGAAAUCUUAAAGGGUUUCCCUUUACGAAUUGUAGUUUAAAGAAGUGUUUUCUGUUGAGGUUUUGGUAAAAGUUCUUUGGAAUAGGACAUCAUAGAGGGUGAGAAUCCCGUAUUUGACCUUUACUUUCAACUUUGUGAUACACUUUCAAAGAGUCGGAUUGUUUGGGAAUGCAGUCCAAAAUGGGUGGUAAAUUUCAUCUAAAGCUAAAUAUUGGCGAGAGACCGAUAGCGAACAAGUACCGUGAGGGAAAGAUGAAAAGAACUUUGAAAAGAGAGUUAAACAGUACGUGAAAUUGUCAAAAGGGAAGCGUUUGACACCAGUGUUGUCUUUCUGAAAAUCAAUUAAAGAACUGUUUAUGCUAAGCUGUUUAGACUUUAUCAGCUAACUGUUUAGUUUUGAGCUUUUCUUUAAUGCACUUUUCAGUUAACAAGUCAACAUCAAUUUCUUUUGCUGUAAAAAAGCUUGAGGAAGGUGGCUUGAGAUUCGUCUUAAGUGUUUAUAGCCUCUUGCCUAUGCAGUCGGAGAGAUUGAGGUCUGCAGCGUAGAUCCUUCGGGGCUAAAUGCAUUUGUGCUAAGUUAUAGCAUUUUAUAGACAACUUGUUGACUAUGAUUUGUCUUGUAGCUUACUCGCUUAUGUUAUUUUACCUACGCUUAGGAUGUUGAUAUGCAUGACUGAUAU
rnacentral:rRNA from 1 species